CUGGAGUUAUUGGACCUAUAAUGCAAUUCACAGCGCCUAUCCCUGGAGCUACAGGACCUAUCAAGCUCUCUCAAAAAACCUUUGUGCAUACUCCAGGACCUAUUGGUA